GUAUUGAUUGCGUGUGAUCGCAAAAAUGAACAUUCUACACUGUAUCGAGUUUUAUGUGAAAACGCAGGCCCUCCCACAAAGGGGAGGACCCACGCGGUGAUGCACAAAGGGGUGAGAUGGAUUUUGUGCGAGAGCGCUCGGGCGUGCACGACCUUUGAAGGUCAGCGACAGCCCUCGCACCUCGGUUGUACGAUAAUGAUCCUUCCGCAGGUUCACCUACGGAAA
rnacentral:misc_RNA from 1 species